AAGGAGAAAUAUUGAAGUCAACGGUACGGAUUAGGUCCUUCGCUGAUUGACCUACUGUUGAAGCUCAAGGCACUCGUGGGCGAAAUGGGGGUGGAGGCAGGGUGGCUGUUCACCGAAGGAAAAAGCGAUCGAAGAUAUGUGAAAUGGAACGACGCAAGAGUCGAAUAUCCUCGUUUGACCGAGAGCGGAACCUGACCGAAAUCGAUUUCCUUAGAGCAACGAAGGUGGCGAGGGGCUGGGCAUAUCCGCUUGACGGAAGGGGUUGGAUAAAAUAUGAGUAUCCAUCUUGGAAAACGUAUGAGAGGGAUAUCACAACGGAUGUCAUUAUCUAGGGGACUACAAAAUAUGGGAUUUAACCGAAGAACUAAAGCCUUUUACCCCUCACUGGGGAUGAUGAAG